AAUAUGGAAGCUAAUGAAGCUUUAAAUUCUUAAUUUAAAGAAGAGAAAAUAUUUUCUCCCAUAUUA
rnacentral:tRNA from 1 species